GAUUGACAAUGCAGAUCUGAGAGAACAAAUGUGACCUGACUUCAUCGCUCUUUCAGCCCGGGCCUCUGUUUCCGUUUGCCACUCACCAGGUGCACAGACAAAUGAUUACACCUUCAAAACCAGCCAUUAAUCUUGACGUGCGAAGGGAAAAGAUAUAAUCCUCUUUAGAAAAAAACUAUCAAAUAGUGCACUGAGACAUCCUAGAAACAAAGUUAUGUCAGAUCAAAGUAAAUUGCAACAAUUCAUCUUGUACACUUUAAACUACCAUGCUGAGUCUCAAAAGAAAAACUCAAUCCUUUUCCGCUCAGCCCACCAGACUGCAUGUUCAAAAGAUCCAGACCAACACGGCUACCCCUCUGAUACUAGAAACUUCAUGGUUAUACUUAUCUUCAACACUAAGUUAAUACAAGCACC